UACGAAGGGGGCUAGCGUUGCUCGGAAUCACUGGGCGUAAAGCGCACGUAGGCGGAUUGCUAAGUCGGGGGUGAAAUCCUGGAGCUCAACUCCAGAACUGCCUUCGAUACUGGCGAUCUUGAGUCCGGGAGAGGUGAGUGGAACUCCGAGUGUAGAGGUGAAAUUCGUAGAUAUUCGGAAGAACACCAGUGGCGAAGGCGGCUCACUGGCCCGGUACUGACGCUGAGGUGCGAAAAGCG
rnacentral:rRNA from 1 species